GGAGAGAUAACCAAGUGGCUAAAGGGUGCAGACUGUAAAUCUGUUGAUAAGUAAUAUCUUCGUUGGUUCGAAUCCAACUCUCUUCA
rnacentral:tRNA from 1 species